AGGCAGCUUGGUUGGAUUUUGGAUGCAAUUGUUUCCAUUUGGGUACUCUCUUUCAUUUAGCAACUGAUUUGGGGUUCUUCUCACAAAUCUUAGUUCCUUUACAUUUCUGAAAAAAAAACAGCUCCUUGCAGUGCUUGUAGCAAUUGUUGGUGUGGGUGCUUUUCUGUGGUGGGCAAGGCAGGAUAUGGUUCAAGACAGUGUAAGGCUACUUCUAUUUUUUCUCUUGCUCACUUCUUAAAGCUCAUAGUUUUCUUCAACUGUGGUAUCAAACAUCUGUUGUUGCCUAGUUAAAACACAACCCAAGUUGUUGAGUGCCUUAAGUUCCAUGCUCUCAAUUUAAUUUCCAUGUUGGCACCUACAA